GGGAAAGGAAAAAAUAUGACCAACAAAAACAAUUUCUUCUAGAGAGGAGGAGAUAAUGCUCUCCACUCUCAGUAAUCUUUUUCUCUCUUAGUUUACCCUCUAGGGUAUCACUUUGGCCCUAGGAUUAGGAGGCUACUAUGAUGGUUUGAUCUUCGUGUAUUGGCAUAAGGCACGUAGGCAAUCUAAUGGGGUUAGAUGCCAUGCUCUCCUUUGUGGUUCGUGCAAGGGUUCGUAGGAAUGAGGUGGCUAUUCAGAAUUCGUUUAAUUUUCAAGAAAAAAGUGUUCAAAAUGUUGGCGGUGUAAAGAAUCAAGAUCCUGAAGAGGUACGUGAUGCUUUUCGUGUUGAAAUCAAUUCCUAUUUUUAUUCCCUGCAUAUUUACUUAUAAAUCUAGUGAAUGUGACCGUAAUUUCUCAUAGUAUUAGUUUCUGUUCUUCGCAUAUUUACUUUAUAAAUUUCUCUUUUUCGUUCUACAUAAUUCCAGAGGUUUCUCGUUCAUAAUCGAUCACUUCACUCACUGACGUUUUCUCAGAUUUUAAUUUUAUAUGAUGUUAAUUGUUUGAUUGAAAUAUAGAUGGCUUCAGCCCAACCCGUAGUCCAACCUUCAUCCCAACCCCAAUUCCAACUUCGUCAUGUCUCGAUAGCUUCAAAUAUGUCGACGCCUGUCAUGGCAAAUUGAUGGAAGUAAAGGAGGCCGGAGGAUUCGACAGUCUGGAGACCAUACAAAUUAGUCAAGCUCUAACAUGAUUUAAGUCCGGACGAUCAGGCCUCCUUUGCCCUCGAUAUCUUCCUCCCCUACUCGUUAGAAGCCUUUCUCUUCAAGAGACAAAGGAGGCCUGAUCGCCUGGACUCGAAUCCUGUUAGAGAUUGGCUAGUUUGUAUGGUCUCCAGAUUGUCCAAUCCUCCGGCCUCCUUUACUUCCGUCAAUUUACCGUGACAGGCGUCGACAGAUUUGAGGUUAUCGAGACACAACAAAGUUGGAAUUGGGGUUAGGAUGAAGGUUGGACUACGGGUUGGGCUGAAGCCAUCUAUAUUUCAAUCAAACAAUUAACAUCAUAUAAAAUUAAAAUCUGAGAAAACGUCAGUGAGUGAAGUGAUCGAUUAUGAACGAGAAACCUUUGGAAUUAUGUAGAACGAAAAAGAGAAAUUCAUAAAGUAAAUAUGUGAAGAACAGAAACUAAUUACAGUCACAUUCACUAGAUUUAUAAGCAAAUAUGCAGAGAAGAAAAAUAGGAAUUGAUAAAAACUAGGUGGGUUUAUUUUGCACCAAAGAUGUAGGGACAUCCCACUAACACCAAGAUAAAGACUAAAGAUGGAGGCGGUGGUCCAUGUCCUUGACCCGCACCAGCAGCAUAACCCCCAGCAGAACGUCUCUGCCUGAACGACCUCCGCAGCUGCCGCCAAAAAUCCGCGACCCGUGAAACGAUGGUAUUUGGACAGGGCAUUGGUGCUUCUUUGGAUCAUUACUGUUAUGCUGGACAUAUGGUGAACUUUUACAAGGAACGAAACUUCUCGCAAUGGUGUGUUUUCGUGGACACCUAGUCGCUAACCCUGGCAGAUUAAGGUCACUGAAUUCAACAACUUACAUUUCAAAGUAUGGAUGAUGAUAAAGUAGUCGGCAAUAAAUGACAAAGUUGUGAUCGAGCAUUUUGUAGUUAUCAUGACAAAGAUUAGAGGAUGAUAAUCUAAUGAACAGUUUGUGUUUGCUUCUCUUAUUUUGUUUUCACCCCAAGAUUCUGACCAGAAAAGUUAAAGAAAAACUUCCUUUAAUUCGACAUGGAAUUGUUGAAAGGUGAAUUUGAAUGAGGAAUUCAGAAUACAGAUUAACGUGUAAUAAGGUUGUUCGAACAGCCCUUAAAUCU